rnacentral:piRNA from 1 species
UGGUCUAAAUGUCUUCUCAGCAGGGC